rnacentral:rRNA from 1 species
AACGAACGCUGGCGGCAUGCCUAACACAUGCAAGUCGAACGAGACCUUCGGGUCUAGUGGCGCAUGGGUGUGUAACCCGUGGGAACCUUCCCUUAGGUUCGGAAUAACUCCCCGAAAGGGGUGCCAAUACCGGAUAAUGUCUUCGGACCAAAGAUUUAUCGCCUUUGGAUGGUCCAGCGUUGGAUUAGCUAGUUGGUAGGGUAAAAGCCUACUAAGGCGACGAUCCAUAGCUUGUCUGAGAGACUGAUCAGCCACACUGGGACUGAGACACGGCCCAGACUCCUACGGGAGGCAGCAGUGGGGAAUGGUGGACCAUGGGCUAAAGCCUGAUCCAGCUAUGCCGCGUGAGUGAUGAAGGCCUUAGGGUUGUAAAGCUCUUUUACCCGGGAAGAUAAUGACAGUACCUAAAGAGAAAGCUCCGGCCAACUCCGUG